rnacentral:lncRNA from 1 species
UUCAAUUCACCUGUUCUUGCUACUUUCUUGCACGACCUCCUUGUCUCAAGGCUUUCACCCGACUGAAUUAAUCCCAAGCGCACACUUGUUGAACCAAAGAUUUGUCAACACGGUCCACCGUUUCACGCUACUCCCUUGCACGACACACCUAGUCUCAAGGCUUUCACUCGAUCGGAUCCGAAUUGCACAAUUUUGUCCAAAACCUUCAAACCCUAAAGAUCUUGAAGGAAAAUCCACCUCGAUUUUCUCGGUACAACAAACCUAAUUGGACGUUAUUAAUCCUAAUCAAGAUGGUAAUCAAUCAAAAAAUGAUUAUGUGUAGUUUGAUUGUAUGUAUGCAUAAAUUGAAUUGAAGAUGAUGAGAUACUUUGAAAUCCUAGAUUCAUGUAGGUUUUACUCACUCUAGAAACCUUACUAGAAAAUGAUGCAUGUAUGAAGUAUUUACAUGCAUAGGUGAUUUAGGUAAAAAAGGAAUGCCAAUAACUUGGAGAAAAUAUGAAUUUUUCAAAAAAUUUAUCGUAUAGGUCGACCUGUAAGAUAUAUGCGUCGACCUGUCAAGGUCAUGCGUCAACCUAUUCAAGGUCAUGCGUCGACCUGUAACAGCUAUGUGAAUCCUAUGUGUCGAUCUGAGGAGUCAAUCAUAUAAUGUAGUUUUUACAUAGAACAGGGAUUACAGGUCCCCUCACAUCUUUGACAUAGAACAGGUUAAUACCGCGACAUACAUGUCGACCUAUAACAAUGAAAAUGUUUAUAUAGGUCGACAUGUAGACAACAUGUGUCGACCUGUAGACAACAUGUGUUAACCUAUAAUGUAGUUUUUUACAAUAAUUUAUUUUUCAUGCAUUUUUGAUGCACAAAACCUUUCUCGAGAUGUUUCAAAAUUCUUUUAUGCUUCCUAAUUCUAAGAUGCACAUAGACAAUCAGAGGAUACCGUCCAAUAUACAUUAACGCUAAAGUAUUAUAAUUUUGACAUCAUACAAAAUACAUUUAAAAGAAGUUGUACUCACACAAGUCACUCAAAGCAUAAGGUUUUUCUUUCCCACAUUGAAUAUUUGAGUGUCAAAUAAGCUCUCUUUAAUCCACAUUGGCUCGAAGUCAUAAGACUUGAGUACGAAGCUUUGCUAAAGAACUAAACUUAGACAUUGACCACUCUUCCUCCAAAUCAAAAACUUAUAAGAUACAUGUGGAUUUUCAAGGUUAAAUAAGUACAAUGCUCAACUGGUUGCUAAGGGGUUUCAUCAACGAUUUGAGUUUGAUUUUAAUGAAACUUUUUCUCCCAUUAUUAAAUCUGUAAUAAUUCGAGUUAUUCCCACUUUAACUUUUACUCACAAAGGAGAGCUUCAACAAAUUAGUUUGAACAAAUAGUUAUGAUAUCCUAAUAUAUAUGAUGUUCGUGUGAGCGAAAUCCUUGUUUCACGACUCUUCACCACUGCCAUCCUAAUAAAUUAAAUUAUUAAUGAUCAAUCAUAUACACCAGUUUUGUAAGGGAAUAUAAUUUGUAGCUAUAUAAUACAUAUUUACUUCUGUUUUCUAAAAAGUUAUUAGUCAUUGUUUAUUCAAUGAAGUAUUAAAUAAUUUUUAAAUUUUAUAAAAAUUUGUCGCGUUGAUUUAUUCAAUAAAAAGAAAUUAUGUCACAGUUAAAUUACUUUUUUUUUGUUAUUAUAAUAAAUGUAAUAAAUUAGUAUUAAACAAGAUAAUUUAUCACAAAAUUACAUUUCAAAUAAUUGUAUCAUCAUUCUUUAAUGAAUAAAAUUAAUACAAAUUAAUUUACUAUCAAGUAUGAAUUUACUUUUAUUUAGACAAGUUCCAAGUAUGAUUUUACUUGACCGAGUGUUUAGUCUACUAAUUAACAUUUCUUUCAUUAAUUAUAAAAUAAUCAUUUUUAAUUUUCUUGUCCUCCUAAUAGUUACAUUUGGGUGUUUACAUAUUUUUGGCCAGUAAGAAAAUGGAUAUAAGCUGGUUGUGUAGGUCCCACUCUGAUGAUAUUGCUAUGGCUAUGCCCAUGGUAGUACAAGUUUAGAGGGAUAAACAAAACUGUCAACAACACAACAAAGGAAAUUUCUCUCAUCACUCCAAUUCCACAUGGACACCAUCCCUACUUCCAUCAACAGGUUUUCCAUUCUCUCUCCCUCUCCUUGAUUCUCAAUUGAAAUUCUGAAUUGUGAAAUUUGUUAUUUUUGCAGUGGUUUGGGAUGGAGUUCUUCCUCGUUGUUUCAGCAAUCAAAUUGCUUCAACCUACUCUCUCUUCCUCCUAAACGAAAACCUUCUCUCACUAAGUUUUCUCUCACUUGCUCUGCCGCCUCUUCUUCCUCUGGUAUUCUCUACUUUUUUCAAUCAGUUUCCGCUUCUAGGUUUCUCUCAUUUUUGCUCUUUUCUGUUAAUUAAUUGUUCUCAAUUUGAGUUUCGUUUCUUUUCUUUUCAAUUUGAAAUGUAUAGUGUAUAGUGUGUUUUAUACCGUAUCAUUUUUUAUAUAUUUUCAGAUCCUCUUUUGGUUAAAGCUGCCAGAGGAGACCCGGUUAGUCGUCCUCCUGCAUGGAUGAUGCGUCAGGCAGGAAGGUACAUGGCUGCUUACAAAAAGUUAGCGGAGAAGCAUCCGUCCUUCCGAGAGAGGUCAGAGACGACUGAUCUCAUUGUAGAAAUUUCUUUGCAGCCUUGGAAAGCUUUCAGGCCUGAUGGAGUAAUUAUUUUCUCUGACAUCCUUACACCUCUACCUGCAUUCGGGAUUGACUUUGACAUAGAAGAUGUGAGGGGACCUGUAAUACAGUCGCCUAUCCGCUCCGAGGAGGCAUUAAAGGUUUUGCACGCAAUUGACUUCGACAAGCUUAGAUUUGUAGGAGAAUCACUUAAAACCCUGCGGAAAGAGGUAGAAAUUGAUUGCAACAAACAUGUCUUCCCUUUAUUCCUAACUUGGCUAUUUUGCCAAGGUUGUUUUUCUUACUUGUUUUCUUUUAUUUAGGUUGGUGGUGAUGCUGCUGUUUUAGGUUUUGUGGGAGCGCCUUGGACAUUGGCAACAUAUAUAGUUGAAGGCGGUACAACACGCACGUAUACUAACAUUAAAAGCAUGUGCCAUACGGCACCACACAUAUUGAGGACUCUACUUUCUCAUUUGACAAAGGCAAUAGCAGAUUACAUCGUUUUCCAAGUCGAAUCUGGGGCUCACUGCAUACAAAUCUUUGAUUCAUGGGGUGGACAGCUACCUCCUCAUAUGUGGGAACUUUGGUCAAAGCCUUAUAUCAAAGAGGUAUGCAACUAAAGGAAAAUGACCACUUCUUUCUAGCAUCAUAAAAUUGUUGUAGGUUUUCAAGCUUUUUGCUGUUAAGCCUAAUUUAAACCAAUUUCGUUAUUGUCGAAAGGAAAAUAGUAUGUAGUUUGCCAAGUUUUGCAACAGUUCGGUUUUAUGUUAAGUUAGUUAGUAUAUAUUUACCAAGUCUCCAUGAUUCUUCUUGGUUGGUUGGCCUUGUAAAUAUUAUGAUUGGUUAAAAGGUUUUAAUUUAUAAACUUCUUCUUGGUUGGUCCGCUAAUGGAAAAAAAACUUGUUAUUUGCAAGCUUGACUGUUACAUAAGCUCGUUGGAUACAAAUCAUGCUUCCGACUUCAGGGGAGAAAACUUGAAAUUAGAACUCCGUUGCUACAUCUUCAUAUUUAAAUAUUUCAUUACGAUGAUUAUUACUAUUAGUUUCUUACGAAAUAGAAAGUUCACACUAAAUAGAAAAGUCUAGGUUGACUGCUGUUAAGUCAUUCUCUUUUUAUUUAUUUAUUUCUGUUAGUUAUACACUUCUUUCUUUCUGAACUUCUAGAUUGUAAAUUUGGUGAAGAAAAAGUGCCCAGAGACACCACUUGUUCUUUAUAUAAAUGGAAAUGGUGGCCUUCUCGAGCGUAUGAUAGAUACUGGAGUCGAUGUUAUUGGACUAGACUGGACAGUGGAUAUGGCUGAUGGAAGAAGAAGAUUAGGUAGCGGGAUUGGCGUGCAAGGAAAUGUGGACCCUGCUUUCUUAUUCUCUCCUCUUACUGCCCUGACAGAAGAAAUUCAGAGGUUGGUGACGUAACCACCAUUUACUUUUUAGUAUUCUUAUAAUCAUUCUAUGGCCGUCAGCAUAUAGAUUCUAGGGGAGGCUACGUCAUCGGAGCACUGUUACAUGGCAUAGCAGUUUGUUCAAAUUCCACUAUGCUACAUUGUUACAAUGCUGUUAUAGCCACGGAACAAUUAACAUUUUGUUCAAAUACCACUACACUAUAACACUAUAGCGCUACUAUAGCUGCUAUUUGACAACACUGCACCGGAGUGAUUCCUAAGUGACCCUCCUAGGUGAUCCAGCAGAAUGAAAAACCAAUGUGUUAAAUGCAUUACCAGGAUCCUCCAAGUAAAUGUACAGGCUGCAUCUUCUCUGUUUAUGAUCCAGUGUCUAAGAUGUAUAGGUUAAACUGCCCAUAGUAUUUGCUUAAUUGACCGAAGAACUGAAAAUAAUACUGACAAGGACGGCAUUAAACAAAGAAUGAUAGAAAUGUUCUUCAAGGAAUUGUUGCUAUAUUAUUUAUCUUUUAGUUUCAAUUAUGAAUCGAAUCAAUAAGACUUGUGUGCCUUUGGUAGAAGGCCAAAGUUUUGUCCGGUGACAGAACCUGAUUUCUCUAAUUUUUUUUUAUGGUACUAGCUUUUUGUCCAAUUAAACCCUCAUAUUUAUAAGAGUAGAGAAACAAAUUUUAUUGAUGAAUUAUCUUGAUUUCUUAAUAUGAUGAUUACACGUAACUGUCAGGGUUGUGAAGUGCGCGGGACCUAGACGACACAUUCUUAAUCUCGGGCACGGUGUUCUCGUUGGUACACCUGAAGAAGCUGUUGCACAUUUCUUUGACGUAGCCAGAAGUUUGAAGUUUGACACAGUCUCUCAAAAUAACACUGCAAAUGUAGUUUAAACGAAAAUGCCAUUAGUGUAGCCACUUGUUGUACUUUUCCCGGUAGAUCAAGCCAUUUCUGGAAGAGUGCAGGUUCAGUCUUUCCUAAUACAACUAUGCGAUGAUGAUCAAUUGAUCGUUGUCUGAGAAUUUACACAUUGCUGUGUCGGCUAAUUUAUGAAAAUAGUCUGCAUUUUUCUGUAUUUUGUAAUUGUUUAUGAUAAAUCAAUAAUACUAAUUAGAGGAUUCCUUCCAUUGUUUGAACACUAGUUAUGCUUUCAUUACAGAGAAAACACAAUAAACUUUUGAUUUCAUUACAGAUAAAACAACGCUAACAAACUUAAGGUAACUUAUGAGCCAACUGUAUUAAGUUAUUUCUUGGCUGCCAUAGAAAUUUUGAAUGCAUUUUUUAUUCUGAAACAAAAACUAUACAAUACAUUCCUUAUAUUUAUUUAACUUCUGUUUCUUUUGAAGGGUGUCUCCAUGCACACAGUAAAAUGUUUCACAAGAAUUUUCAGGCCUGUCAAUUAAACUUGUCACUGGAAGAACGGUUGCCAUAUUGGUGUAGAGCCUCAUUCAGAGUUUUGAGAGCCUUGUCAUAAGACACAAACCCCAUAAAAAAGAACUCAUAACCAUCAACUGUCACAAUCUCGAUGUAUUUUUCUUUCGAGUUAAAUAUAUUAGCUGAAGGACUAACUGCCCUCAGCUGAUCGAGCUGCACUACCACCUACAAGUUACGUCACAUACAGAAUCAACACUUGAUCGAUACCGUAAAAUCACUGAUACAUGUUAUCGAUGUUAAAGAUGCAAUGAGAUAAGGAAGUACCUUAUAGUAGAUACAUUGAUGCUGCAAGGAGAAUGGAUAGUGACAGAGUGGAUAGUCACUGCAGAAUGCCAAUCUUUUAGUUGUUAUGUAAAGUGUUCCAAUCACAGGUCCAGAGAUUUUUGAUAUGUAACAAACAUGUUGCUUUAACAGUUUCUCUCCUGGAAUAACCCCAAAUGUUUGCUGAAAUAGCUUAUCAGAUCCCCCAUUUGCAAUCAGUUUUGUUCCCUGAACUAGUCUAGCCAUUGCAGCAUCAGCUGGACUAGAACUCAUUCUGACUGUACUCAUUGAAAAUGGAUUCCAUUAGAAUAAAGUUAGAAUCACAAAUUUCAUCACAAAUUCAAAAGGAUACUAUCAUAAUUAAAUAGUUAUAUAUAUCAAAUGUGCAAUGCUUUUUUUUUUGUUGCCCCUAUAUUAGGCAACUUGUUACUAGCUUCCAAGGAGAUAUUAAUAUGAACAGAAAACUAUCAUCCAAAAAGUCACUAUAAAUCCAAUCAUGGAACCAAUCAUGGGACCAAUCAAUAAUGUGUUGUCUAUUACCAAUUUAUUUUCCUUUCUCCUUCUUCACUUUAAUAUACAUUUAUUGAAUCUAGAUCUCCAUUCUUACACAAACACUUGCCUUCACUCUUCUCCAACUAUCACUACAAUCCAUCAUCAUGACCUCAACCACCGCACCACUCCUUCCAUGGAAGGUUCGCUUCACCAUGUCUACCAUCUCUUCUCUCAUCUCAGUCUCUCACCGUUCCAACGACACCGUCAACCGCCGUCUCUUCAACUUUUUUGAUCGAAAAACCUCUCCUAACCCUAACUCCAUCGAUGGAGUCACUUCCUCUGACGUCAUCGUAGACCCCACACGCGAUCUAUGGUUUCGCCUUUUCAUCCCCUCCUCCAACCCCAUCUCCGACGGGUCUCUCCCCGUCUUUGUGUUUUUUCACGGCGGCGGUUUUGCAUUAUUUUCUCCGGCUUCCAUCACAUACAACGCUGUUUGUCGUUUAUUCUGCCGUUCGUUCUCCGCCAUCAUUGUAUCUGUUAAUUACCGUCUUGCCCCUGAGCAUCGUUAUCCUUCUCAAUACGACGACGGUUUGGCAAUCCUUAAAUUCCUCGAUCAAAAUAACAACGUCUUAGGAAAAUCAGCUGACAUCAGCAAAUGUUUUUUGUCGGGUGAUAGUGCGGGUGGUAAUUUAGCUCAUCAUGUAGCGGUCCGGGUUUCCUUAGAAAAGUUUCAGGUUUUGAAAAUUAUCGGUUUGGUUUCAAUCCAACCUUUUUUUGGAGGUGAGGAAAGAACCGAAUCUGAAAUCCGAUUCAACCGGGUACCUAUUGUUUCAAUCGAUAAAACUGAUUGGUAUUGGAGGAUGUUUUUGCCAGAUGGGUCAACCCGUGAUCAUGAAGCGGUUAAUGUUUCUGGACCUAAUGCAAUGGAUAUUUCGAAUGUGGAUUAUCCGAGUACCCUUUUGUGUGUUGGUGGACUCGAUCCAUUAUUGGAUUGGCAAAAGAGAUAUUAUGAAUGGUUGAUAAAAUCCGGAAAAGAAGUGGAAUUAAUUGAAUAUCCAAAUAUGAUUCAUGUGUUCUUUUAUUUUCCAGAAUUACCAGAGACAUCACAGUUUAUUUCUAGAGUUAAGGAUUUCAUGAAUAAGCAAAUGGCUCAUGUGAAUUAAGGGCUUAAAUAAUUUGGUUUGUAUGCUUGCCUAAAAAAACAAAUAAAGUGUAUCCUGUUUUGUUUAUAUAUAUAGGACGAAUGCUAGAGAAAAUAAGAUUACAUGUAAUAUAUGUUUAUAAUUAAUGUAUUUGGUGGUGUGUUGAUAAUAUUCAGAUAUAUUGAUUAUUCAAUAAAUUUAAAAAAUAAAUUUUUUCUUAUAAAUAGAUUAAAG